rnacentral:tRNA from 1 species
GAUAGAGUAAGCUAAUAUUAAGCUAUUGGGUUCAUACCCCGAAAAUGAUUUGUCCUCUAUUU